GGGGCGUCGGUGCUCCGGAUAUUGAGGCGUAAGGGCUCGCAGGCGGUUUCUUAAGUCUGAUGUGAAAGCCCCCGGCUCAACCGGGGAGGGUCAUUGGAAACUGGGAAACUUGAGUGCAGAAGAGGAGAGUGGAAUUCCACGUGUAGCGGUGAAAUGCGUAGAGAUGUGGAGGAACACCAGUGGCGAAGGCGACUCUCUGGUCUGUAACUGACGCUGAGGAGCGAAAGCGUGGGGAGCGAACAGGAUUAGAUACCCUGGUAGUCCACGCCGUAAACGAUGAGUGCUAAGUGUUAGGGGGUUUCCGCCCCUUAGUGCUGCAGCUAACGCAUUAAGCACUCCGCCUGGGGAGUACGGUCGCAAGACUGAAACUCAAAGGAAUUGACGGGGGCCCGCACAAGCGGUGGAGCAUGUGGUUUAAUUCGAAGCAACGCGAAGAACCUUACCAGGUCUUGACAUCCUCUGACAACCCUAGAGAUAGGGCUUUCCCUUCGGGGACAGAGUGACAGGUGGUGCAUGGUUGUCGUCAGCUCGUGUCGUGAGAUGUUGGGUUAAGUCCCGCAACGAGCGCAACCCUUGAUCUUAGUUGCCAGCAUUCAGUUGGGCACUCUAAGGUGACUGCCGGUGACAAACCGGAGGAAGGUGGGGAUGACGUCAAAUCAUCAUGCCCCUUAUGACCUGGGCUACACACGUGCUACAAUGGACAGAACAAAGGGCUGCAAGACCGCAAGGUUUAGCCAAUCCCAUAAAUCUGUUCUCAGUUCGGAUCGCAGUCUGCAACUCGACUGCGUGAAGCUGGAAUCGCUAGUAAUCGCGGAUCACAUGCCGGGGGGAAAAAACUUUCCCGGGGCCUUGUACACACCGCCCGUCACACCACCGAGAGUUUGCAACACCCGAAGUCGGUGAGGUAACCUUUAUGGAGCCAGCCGCCGAAGGUGGGGCAGAUGAUUGGGUGACAGAAAAAAAAAGCGUUUUAAAAAAAAAAAAAAAACGAGGGAG
rnacentral:rRNA from 1 species